CUUAUUAAGACACGUUGUGUAGGAUUAAAAUGCAACCAGGUUGCUGAUGAACUUGGUGUGGAUGGCAUGAGACGUGGUGGUGAGGUUGAACUCGCACAACAGAAUAAUCAAAAUACUGAGAGAAGAGAGAGAACCACAUAGCAAAAGAACAAGGUGUUCCUAGGAGCUUCGUGUUCUUUGAACACCUUCUUUUUACAAAUGCUUCGACGUUUGACAGUACUUCCUGAUACUUUUUUGUGGACUGAGAAUGUGAAUCCCAGGUAGGAUGGCCUUUGCUCUGUCUAAAUAGAUAGUGUAUUUUUCUGUCUGUUGUGUGGUUAAUCUGGGCUCUUCCUUCUAUGGGACACAACCACUAAACUGCGGUCUCUGGGCGUUAAUGGCCACCUUCACGGCCAUAUAUUAUUCACCACUCCUUUUCCGUUAUAUGACAGCUACGAUAAAUCCAGUUCGAUAGGAUGAAACAACUCUGUUCCUUCAUCCUUAUCAGUUCUGCUAUCUAUUGCCCCCCCUGCGCCUCACAAAGGAUAACCACUCAAUAAUUGAGAACACAAACACAGCCAUCAAAAACACACCGUGUUGCAUCGCGGCGCACACUAGAGCCACACGAUGGAAGAGUUGCUCACAGGUUUUUAUAGCCAACACAAACACUUGCCCACCUCCGAGCUGUUAAACAGGACACCAUAAACCUGAGAAAGAAAGAGAAACCGUGGCCUGUUGCGCCACGUCCUCCCACCGUGUCCAGGCAGCCGAGGUGGGAGGCAAGCUCCACUGGUGACGCUGGAGGGGGGAGCCAUCCUCAGCCUCCACUGGUGAUGGUGGGAGCCAGCCUUCUUAGCCUCCACGCUGGUGGAGGUGGGAGCCAGCCGUCCCCAGCCUCCAUGCUGAGGAUCUCCGUGUUACUGUACAUUCUGUUUUUUUCCCAGCCCGCCCACGCCUCAGAGGAUAUGCACAGACUUAUUCUGACAGUAAUGCGGCAAUUUGUCCUGCUGUGGAAGUGUUAUUUAUUU
ensembl:lncRNA